AAUCCUCUUUUAUUCAAACUUAUCUCCCCUUCAUUUAUCUCAAACUCAGCCCCUCAUUCCCAAACUCAACCGCAACUGUCUUCUUCCACUGUUCAUCAUGCCACUGUCAAGCUUGUUGCCUCUGCGAACCAGCUACAUCUCCCUUUACCGUCCUUCAAGUGGUGAAGCAGCUGAACACUUUGGAUGAUCCGACUCAUAUCUUCCAUCAUCAUCUCUCACUUCUUGUCUUACACUGAUCAUGGCCAUCAUCGUCACUCUUUUCAUGGGUGUUUUAUAAUUGAUUGUGGUGUCUUUGUAAGAAUAGUAAUAGGAAGAUUUUUGUUGUUGUUGAAGGCUGUUAUAAGUAGUUUAGUUAGCUAUUGUUGAAGGCAAUUGAUUGUUGAAGACAACCGAAUCAUGUAGAGGGAUUUUAAUUUUUAGUUCUUUUUCAUUUUACGUUUUGUGAUUUUCUGGGGAAAAAAAUUGGAUUGUAUUUUGUGAAAUUAUUGUAAACCGAAUUUGUAACCCAAACCGAAUUUAAUUCGGAUCGGUUCAGUUUGGAUUACAAAUUUGAAACCAUUUGGGUUCAGUUUGGGUUACAAAAAGGACAAGUGAAAAAGAUUAAUCUGAAAUAGAAUGAUAUUAAGGUGCCUUUGUAGAUUGGUAACGUUGAAUGUGGCUAAUAUGACUUUCCAAGAAUGAUUUUGUUUAGUCAUUAGCCUAGCAUGCUAGUAAAUCUAUAUUUAAUUUGAUUAUCUUUCCCUGUAAAAAAGUAAAAGUGAAGGUCCUUUGUGAUUUGGUCAAUUUGUUGCGGUUGAUAUAUUGUACAAUUGUGAUAAAUUUGCAUGGUAUCAAUAUGACUUAAGGCAAGAUUUUUUGCCCUUAUUUUUUUCCCCAUCUCCAUCUCUCUAUUUAGAUGCCUUCACUGUUUAUAACUUUUUGGAGUCUCUCAUUUCUUAUUAUCUUAUUUGUAUGUGUAGGGUUGCCAUGAAAACAUUUGGGAUCAAUGCUGGAAGGCUAACUAAGGAUUGAACUAUACGGAAAAUGGUUCAGUGGUAUUGAUUCUGUGCUUAAAGUGUGGAGUGAAUUUAGAUAAAUGUAUAGUUCAACAAACUAGAUCUUUUUUUUUAUUAUUAUAUAUAUACAUUUCAAACAUUUAAAGUUUGUCCUUGUAUAAUUUAUAUAAAUGUAUAGUUUCAAACUGGAUUUUAUUUUUGAUAUAUACAGUUUAUGUUAAUAUGAUUUUGAGUUUGCUAUUUUAUUGUUUAGUUUGGAG
rnacentral:lncRNA from 1 species